CUUUUUCUUCGAGACGCUGUCCGAAAAGGUUACCUCAGCCAUUGGCUCAUGGCGGGGCACUUUCUUAAGUUCUUUCCUGACGUUUUUCGUCAAUGGGUUUCUUGUUCAGUUUGAGCUGUUAAUGGUGUUGUGUGGUGUGCAGUGGUUUUGCAGUUAUUCAGUCGAGAGAUGGCCUGAAAUGGGUGAUCAACUGCUGAGACUUCCCUCACUUCAUGAUCUUUUUCUAUGGAGACGCUGUCCUAGAAGGUUUAGCUUGGCCGUUGCAGGCAACUUCUCUUUCUUGACAUUAUUAGUCUUCAAAAUGGGAUCAUGGCUUUUAACUUGUACUUGCAUGGUUAAUUACUCAUGGUUAAAUUUCUAAUAGUUCUUUAAUCUAGUGGUUUAAUUUCUACGGUCAUGUCAUGAGGUCUGCCGUACAUUUUCUCCAAAAUGUCGUCUCUUGGUUCAUGUUGCACGUUUCGUCACAUUCAGAAUAACAGCCUAGUGAAAUCCAAGCUUUUCAUUGCGUUACGUGUACGCGAUCGCUGCCGUUUAAUGAAGUUUCUCUAAGAGGGUCUCUACCACAUUGCAAGAACAUUGUGAUGGAAAUAUGAAAUCUGAAAUAAUAAUAAUUUUUCCACGUUCAGUUUGAUGUUCGAGCUUUUUGUUGUGGCGGUUACGUGCGCAGUGAUUUUCCAGGAGAGAUGUGUUAAAAAGUUCUGUUGGCUUUAGAGUUUUCCAGGGACAAAGCACCUGUUGUUGGCAACAUGGCAAUCAUAUGCCACUGAGCCUGACUUAAUGUUCUCUGAACACUGUCAGUUACAUUGUUCGUUACCAAUGCGGAACUCCAACAUUCUUCUUCACAAAUAUCUCAUAAAGGAUUAGUGGCUUGGUGAGGUUGAGCUUUUUCAUGGCAGUUGACAUGGACUUGUUGCAGCGAGCUGGUGAAGGGUGUGGUGAGCUGUUGCGUGACGACCAUGGGCUGGUGCGGGGAAGUGCUGCACGUUGUCUGCGGCUUCCAUCGUCAGAUGUAUGAGCUAAUUAUGUUGUUGCUCUUUGGUAUGCAGUUCAUGUUCAGUUGGUUUUGUUGCAGCCAGCUGGUGAAAGGGAGUCCAAGUCGAGUUCAGCUGCAGCUUUUGAAGCAGUUAACAAUGCUCGUGUUAUUCCGAAAUGUAACAUCAAUGAAGACAUCUUGAAAUGGUCUUGGUGAUGAUGCAAUCAUCCAUCUUCUGCAUGGAUUUUGUGUUAUCAAGAAGCGGAGAAGUAAGACUUGAAGCAAAGCUGCAAGAAAAGAAAUGGUAUUGACGUUAAUGUGCAGUGGUUUUGCAGUCCGACUCCUUUUCAAGCUGUUGCUUUCCUGAAUUUUGCCGGAGUCUUUGAAGUAGCUGAUCCUGUCAUCCUGAAGUUAUGAUGCCGGGGUUAUCCUGGAGUAGCUGUUGUUGGUGUCUUAAGUUACUGUGGCAGUUCAUUUCGGGUUGAUAAAAAUAUUAAUAUCCAUGUAGUAUGUGAUGUAGUAACCUUAAUAUGCUAUUUUGUUAUCCAUUGUGGCAUGUUGUGAACUGAUAUUGGUCUACACAGCAUUUGUGCUUCCUGAUAUUUCCCUCACCCAUAUAUAUCUAAUAAUUCUUAAAUAAUGGGAUGUUAAAGUGAACUUUAAGUUUUUCCUUUUGCGUAGGAAAUUAAUAGUUCAUUUAGUUUUCACUUGAAAUGACGAAAUAAUAAAAAA
rnacentral:lncRNA from 1 species